rnacentral:lncRNA from 1 species
GCAUGGCCGAGCUCGUCUCCUCCGUCCUAGCCUUCUUCACCGAUCUGGAGGUCGCGGCACCUUUUCUUUUGUGGGCCUUGAGACCCCUGAUGAGCAUCCGUACUGCUUCGGCAUCCAUCCCUAAAAAAAAAAAGAGAGAAGAGAAGGAGAGAAAAAAGAAGAAAGAUUAGUGACGGGGUAAAAAAGGAAGAAGUGGCACGCAAAAAAAAGGUUGGGAGGGGAAGGAGCCGAAUAACCAAGAAGCUUCCGGGCGGCC